GGAUGUGAGGGCGAUCUGGCUGCGACAUCUGCCACCCCAUUGAUCGCCAGGGUUGAUUCGGCUGAUCUGGCUGGCUAGGCGGGUGUCCCCUUCCUCCCUCACCGCUCCAUGUGCGUCCCUCCCGAAGCUGCGCGCUCGGUGGAAGAGGACGACCAUCCCAGAUAGAAGGAGUGUACCGUUCUUCGGUCAAGGGUAUACGAUAGCUGCGCUCCCCUGCUAGAACCUCCAAACAAGCUCAAGAGAACCACUGCUUUAAAGGUUCUUAUCCUUGCCAGCACCUCCAGUAUUUCAAGAAGAGCAUACU